rnacentral:tRNA from 1 species
UCUUUGAUGGUCUAACGGUCAUGAUUUCCGCUUGUCACGCGGGAGACCGGGGUUCGACUCCCCGGCAGAGAG